GUUUUAGUAUAAGUAUGUCCCAUGAGAUAUUUGGGACAUGUUUACACUAAAA
rnacentral:pre_miRNA from 1 species